CUCUACCUAUCACUGUCCCUGUGGCUCUCUGUGAACCCCUCCCUCUCCGUCCCUCUCUACUUUCUGACACUCUAUGUGUCGCUGUUGAACUUCCUUCUGUGUUCCAUCUGCCCUUUUCCCACCUCUCCCACUCCCUUCCAGCAGACCCACCUACUCAACGGGUGCUCACCAUACAGGCAGGCGGGCACACACACGGCCCGGAGCUGUCAACGCACUCCUCAGACGGUCCACGCUCUACUGCAGUUCAACAGCAGGGGGAGUGUCAGGCUGCAGGGGAGAGGACGGAGGGGGGGUUGAGAGCAGAGCAGCCCUCGGUCCCUGGAGAGGAAAGCUGAAGGACGAAACGGAGCUGCCCUGGCCACAAGCACAUGGAAAUAUCAUCAUGCUCCCUCUCCACUGCUAAUUGGUGCCUUGGUACCAUCCCUCUGGUGAGGAUUCAGCUUGGUGCAGGGCGACCUGAGGAGCAAUUUCAGCCUUCGCUUCUCUUCCUCUUUCUUUUGCGCCACAGAAUUUACUUUACUGCCGUCAAACCAACACUGAAAUGGAUAUUAAUAAGAGCAAAGUUCACAACUGACAAAGUUACGUUGUUUGUAUGUUUAUAUGUAAGUUCAUAUAUAUUACGGUCGGCACUGCCUAUAAAAAAGCGUGAGUGAGAUCAUUAUACUUUAAGAUUUGUGUGACCUUGCUCGCUCACACAAUACAUUUCUGACUAAACACAUCCAACAACAUCCUCUGUGGGUAUCAUUAAUAUCAUUAAAUACACAGGAAGUGAAAAUAAUGUUUAUGGAAUAGUUUUUGUGAAUAACUUUUCAAAGUAUUGUGUGCACUGCAACAUUUUUAGAACAUUGAAUGGUUUCCUUGGUAACAGUGCAAAGUACUUUGACUCUUAACAACUUGUACACCUUAGCUUCACACAAGCCUCAAAUCUGCAGUACUCUUUCAUUUAAAACACAUAUAACAUUUAGAAGACAGAGAGCAAAUUGUUUUACUGUAUUACUGUAUAAGUUCUAUUUUUGGGUCAUUUUUCCUCAGCUCACAGACAGUGAGUGCAAAUUUCAGAAUGGCUUUUUUUCUUUUGACACACAAAAGAAAAAAAAGCUAUAGGUGAGCUCGUAUGAGAAGAGAUGACAGGGAAUGGAGCAGCUGCACAGAGAAAACGCACAGCAGUAUGGGAGGGAAACAGAGGGAUGAAUGGCUUGUGGUGCUGAUGUGGAGAGGACAACAAAGUAAUUAUGGGACGACUAUGGAUGGAUAUAGAACUGGGCGAGGGUGGGAGGAGGAAAGGGAGACUGAGAAAAAGAAGAAGAAGAAGAAGAAGAAGAAGAAGAAGAAGAAGAAGAAGAAGAGUGUGGGGGGUGUUGUAACCUGCUCUCCAUCACACCAUGAUAGUUAAUUAGCCUCUGACUGUGCUGGCAAACAUAUUUUGUAGCCAUCUGGAGAAGGGGACUUUACUUCAUCUGUCUAUAUUGUGUGUCAUUCUAUCUAUCUGUUUUCUGUGUGCGUCAUGUUUACAUGCAGGUCUAUCUGUCAGUCAAUCUGUCUGAGCUUCAUCUUCCAGCUUUCUACCAUAUUGACUAAGGACCCUGCCCUGUGGUAUUAAAUAUAUUCACAUCCACAGACUCACACACAAACACUCGAAAACCAAGACAGUGGAGCAGUCUAUUCUCCAACUGCACUUUUCUCACCAUCCACAAGGGGUCAUGAUUACAUUGAAAAGAUUCUUCAGCAGGUUUCAACUGUGAGCUGCAGUCAUUUGUCAUUAAUUUCACUUUGUUUGUUGAUUCAUUUGUUUUUACAAUUCUGUGAGAGGCAUUAGGCCAUGAUUUUAGGGUUGAGAAAUAUGAAUGAAACAAUUCUAUUAACAUCUCAACAACAACAACAAUUCUAUCAGUCUCAAUGUGAACUAUUCCCAACAUGAUUUUUAAAGUGCAUAUUUUAAGAAAAGUCAGAAGCACAUGAAACGUGCUCAAAUUUACAUUCACUCUGUAUGUAACACCUCACAUCCAUUAUAUACCUACUGUGUUUUAUUAGCCAGCUACUCCAUGACCAAUUAAUUACUUAACUAAAAAACAAAUUGACCUACAUUUUAGGGAGAGAAGAGGGGAAAUUAUUCACAAACAUUUUACCUGUGGGACUGGAUUCAAACCCGUUACAAGCACUGCAAAUAAAGAAAAGUAUAAUCACAAGUUAGUGAUCAAAAUAUACCAACAAAAACUGCUAUUGGUGACAGCCAUAAGGACAAACACGUGAAAAUAACAAAAUGUGAUUAUUAGGAACAUUAAAACAGCUAACCUUUGAAAGAACUUCAACUGAACCAGCAAGCAGUUUACUGUCACAUCCGGGACUGCCAUCUUGCAUAUUCUGCUGUUCAUUCUUCAAUAUUUGGGUUGGUCGCGGGUAAUAUGUAUGAAUACUGCUUGCAUUGUUUUUUGACUUGAAUUGCUCUUUUUGGUUUGUAUUUCAUUAUUUUCUUAUUUUUAUUUUAUAUAGGCCUAUUACAAUUUUUAUGUUUACCUUUCUCUAUUUAUCUGUACUUAUUUCUGUCCUUGUGCUGCUGCAACACCUGAAUUUCCCCUCCGUGGAUUAAUAAAGGCAUAUCAAAAAAAUA